rnacentral:lncRNA from 1 species
UAUACUUCACUAUUUUUAAAGCCUUUAAAGUGAAAACUCAUAACUAAGCACUUCAAGUCAAGGAAAUUAUUCAGUGUCCUCAGAUUACCUUGUGGAUCAAGUGCAAUACUUAUGGCUCGAUUAUAAUCAAUAUUGUCCUUUCAUCUUGUGCAUUCAUUUUUAGAAUAAGGAAUUAAGACUUCAUUGGAUUCUUUAUUGCCAACCUUGGUUUCCAAAAUUCACUUUAUGCAGAACUUAUGGGCUUCAUGCUUUCCAUUGAAAAUGCUCGAGAUAGGAACUGGAAUUUUCUUUGUAUAGAAUCUGAUUUAAAAAUUGCAACCUUGGAUUACAAUAACCCUCAUAUUGUCCCUCGAUAUAUUUGUAAUAUAUGGUGUAAUUGUAUUUCCAUUGUUCAACUCAUUUAUGCUUACACACAUAUUUAGGGAGGGAAAUCAGUGUGUUGAUACUCUUUCAAAAAUUGGCCUUUCUCUUUCGAUCUUUACUUGGUGGAACACUCUCCCAUUGUUAUUAAGAGAGAGUUAAUAUUGAACAAGUUAGGAAUACCUAACUUUAGAUUUUUUUAACUUGUAUUGCUUCCUUCAUGUUUGCUUGAGGACCAGGCUUCCUUCUUGUUUGAUUAGGAGGUGCUUAACUCAAACAAUCAAUGGGUAAUUUUUCUUAGAAGUCGGGUUAUCAAAAAAAUUAUUGCACUAGGUACCAUAUCUACUCAUCCAUUUGGAGUGGUAUCAAGUCAAACCCUUAUGUCCAACU